rnacentral:rRNA from 1 species
GCCGAUUAGGUAGUUGUUGGGGUAACGGCCCAACAAGCCUUUGAUCGGUACGGGUUGUGGGAGCAAGAGCCCGGAGAUGGAUUCUGAGACACGAAUCCAGGCCCUACGGGGCGCAGCAGGCGCGAAAACUUUACAAUGCGGGAAACCGUGAUAAGGGAACUCCGAGUGUCCGUAAAUGCGGACUGUCCGUAUGUCUAAAAAGCAUGCGAAGAAAGGGCCGGGCAAGACCGGUGCCAGCCGCCGCGGUAAUACCGGCGGCUCGAGUGGUGGCCACUAUUAUUGGGCUUAAAGCGUUCGUAGCUGGAUCGUUAAGUCUCUUGGGAAAUCUACCGGCUUAACCGAUAGGCGUCCAAGGGAUACUGGCGAUCUAGGGACCGGGAGAGGUGAGGGGUACUUCAGGGGUAGGAGUGAAAUCCUGUAAUCCUUGGGGGACCACCUGUGGCGAAGGCGCCUCACCAGAACGGCUCCGACAGUGAGGGACGAAAGCUGGGUGAGCAAACCGGAUUAGAUACCCGGGUAGUCCCAGCCGUAAACGAUGCGCGUUAGGUGUAUCGAUGACCACGAGUCAUCGAGGUGCCGAAGGGAAACCGUGAAACGCGCCGCCUGGGAAGUACGGUCGCAAGGCUGAAACUUAAAGGAAUUGGCGGGGGAGCACAA